CGCGCUGGUGCGUCGCCAUUGCCUGCCGGCCGAGCAGCUACCGCCGCCAGUUUUCGCUCGAUUCGCCGCCUCCUCCACCCAUCGGACGAAGCCGGCGACUCAGGAGCUUCAGAACAUCGCCCCGCACAUCGGCCGCCUCUUCCCAUCGUCAUCUCGACACCGGAGCACCGCCGCCGCGGGGAAGCUCGAGCCGGCCAUCGUCCUGCCACCACCGACCGGAUUCUGGCCGCCUUCGUCUAUCUCCGCCACCGAUGAGCGCACCUCCGAGCUCGUCGUCACAUCCUCUCUCGGUUCCCAUCCUCGCCGUGGCCACCGGCUCGCUGGAGCGCCAGCAAGCCGGCUGGCCGAAGCACUGUUGACAGGAAGAAGAAGGCUGUCCAUUUUGCGUUCAAGCCCCUGGAGAACCCUGUAAUGUUUUCCUCUUUUCUUUGUGUCUUGGCAAACUAGCAGAUAACCCCCUGGAUCUAUUAGUUUCCCUAGAUCCCUCCAACCUCGUUUAACCCAUAAAUUCUACGUUUUAGCUCCGUUUUAAUCCGUUCAUAUUGCGUUAGGUUCAUGAUGGCAUAAAGUGCACGUUAGUGGUAAUGUUUGCCUUCACACCUAUUUUUAAAAAUAAAUUUGAUAUUAAAUUGAUUAAUGCCUGAUAAACGAGUUCUUUUCUAAAUAAAAUCUAUUUAGUGUUAUACAUCGUUUUUCAUAAGAAGUGUUCAAUUGAUUAAAUGUCUACUUCGUAACCUUUCUAAAUAAAAGUUAAUUAGGUUAUAUAUCGGUUUUUUAUAAAACAAAAGUUAAUUUGAUUAACGGCUAUCUAAAUAAUUCUUCCAAUUAAAAGCCAAUCAGAGAUAUACCUCAAUGUUUCAUAAAUUAAAUUCAAUUUGAUUAAUGUUUAUUCAAUUUGAUUUCUAAAUAAAAGCUACGUACAUUAUAACUCGAGUUUUCAUAAUUAAAUGUUAAUUCAACUAAUAUGAAUAUAAAUGUGUUUCUAAAAUAAUCUGCUAGUUAAACUCGAAAUAUAAAGCUAUGCGCUUAGAUGUUUACAUGUAAUUUAUUUUUAAAUUAAAUAAUUAAUUUGCAUAAAUUGUACUUAAAUAUUUAUAAAUAAAAUUGGACUAAGUUUUACAUCAUCUUUUCUUAUGAAAAUAUAAAUAUGACUUGAUUAAUUGUAACUAAGGAUAUUUCUCUGAAAUAUCUUUACAUUGUUUUUCUCAACUAAAAUAAAUGAAGCUUGUAGCUCUCACCUUUUUUAAAAAUUCAAAUAUCUCAAUAGCUUUAUCUUUUCAACCAUAGUUCCGUUCUCAGCAUUUCCUAUGUUUGCGUGCAUCCUAGAAACGAGUCCUAUCCUUUAGUACGCUCUUUUAAAGCCUGUCUUUUAUUUUAGUGUAUUGUUCUUAGUUGUACUUGUUUGUUGCUUGUAUGUUUGUGCCGAUGUUCGCUCCGAGUAGAAGGAUCGCCAUUCGGAAGUUUUGAAGAGUAAGAGUUUCAAGAAAGCAAGAAGCCGAAGAGCAUAGCAGUAAGAGUAACUUUUCGUUGGAGAAAGGCAAGUGUCCCUAACCAUCCUUCUACCUAUGCUUUGUUAAUAAUAUCAUGAUAAUGUUAAUUGGAACAUGGAGCGACCACCCAGGAAAAUAGUGCUACCACAAGAUUAAAUGGCUCUGGCCUUGGCUGAAUAAUUAGAAACUCUAAUCUGGGGUAAUCUUACCAAAAGGGCAAGAGGGGAGGCGUUGAUGGGGUAUAACACUCGCUCUAUUGGGAAGUGGGCUUUGCUAAGACACUGUACCCACUAAGGGACUGUUAUGCUCUGCUUCGGCCUGAAACCUUAGCGGGUUACCACUUACUAGCAAAUCUUUGUAAAGGCCUCGUAGCGUCCCUAUGCAAUCACACCUCGGGAGUGUGGUAUGGUGCCUAGCUAGCACCGCAUGGUUAGAUCCAAAGUUCUUUGAACUUUUACGCGACUUGUGGGUAAAGAUGUGCAACCUCUGCAGAGUGUAAAACUGAUCGAUCAGCCGUGCUCACGGUCAAGAGCGGCCUGGACCAUCACAUGAUUAACUAGACUUGAAGAUGGACUUAAAUCGUUAUUCUGGUUAAUUCUAGUGGUCUUGCUGAGUACCAACCAUAAGUGUACUUACUCUUGCUUACUACUGCUUAGAAGAAGAAGGUGUGUGAAG
rnacentral:lncRNA from 1 species